rnacentral:misc_RNA from 1 species
AAGUCGUAACAAGGUCUCCGUUGGUGAACCAGCGGAGGGAUCAUAUUAUGGAAAGAUAGCUCUGGGUUAUGCCUAGGGUUAAAAACAGAAGAGCAUUUGGAGUUAAUGAAGGAUGUUGUUGUAGCAACAACAGACUUUUUAAAAUUGGGUUAUAAAAAGAUAAAUUUAUUAUAUAAAGUAAAUCCAAACAACUUUUAACAACGGAUCUCUAGGCUCUU